rnacentral:rRNA from 1 species
UAAUACGAAGGUGGCAAGCGUUACUCGGAAUUACUAGGCGUAAAGGGCAGGUAGGCGGUUUGAUAAGUCUGUUGUGUCAGCUCCUGGCUUAACUGGGAGAGGUCAACGGAAACUAUCAGGCUUGAGUGUAGGAGAGGAUACUGGAAUUCCUGGUGUAGCGGUGAAAUGCGCAGAUAUCAGGAGGAACACCAAUGGCGAAAGCAAGUAUCUGGACUAUUACUGACGCUAAGCUGCGAAAGCUAGGGGAGCAAACAGGAUUAGAUACCCUGGUAGUCCUAGCUGUAAACGAUGCACAUUAGACGUGAGGGGUAUCGACCCCCUUCGUGUCGACGCAAACGCAUUAAAUGUGCCGCCUGGGGAGUACGGCCGCAAGGUUG